UACGUAGGGUGCAAGCGUUGUCCGGAAUUAUUGGGCGUAAAGAGCUCGUAGGCGGUCUGUCGCGUCUGCUGUGAAAACUCAGGGCUUAACCCUGAGCUUGCAGUGGGUACGGGCAGACUAGAGUGCGGUAGGGGAGACUGGAAUUCCUGGUGUAGCGGUGAAAUGCGCAGAUAUCAGGAGGGAACACCCGGUGGCGAAGGCGGGUCUCUGGGCCGUAACUGACGCUGGAGGAGCGAAAGCAUGGGGAGCGAACAGG
rnacentral:rRNA from 1 species